rnacentral:lncRNA from 1 species
AUGUUUCUAAUUUUCUCAAGCCCUCUCCUACGCCUUCAUCUCUGCAUCUAAUUUUCUCUGUUCUCUCCCUUCCUCGCACCACAAUCUUCAAACCCUAGCUGUUCUCUCCCUUCCCCGCACCACAUUCUUCAGACCUAGUUGUUACUCUCUUCCCCGCAAGUCCGAGCUCUUAUUGCUCGUGGAACUCUUUGGUUUGUGUUCGGCUUGGUCUUCCGUUGCUUAGGAACGAAAACUUGGUGCAUUUGUGGGCUGCGCGGUGCCUCCAAUCGAGGGGCUCUGGUGUGUGUUCGCUCUUGCACCGACCAUCAAGGUAAAUCGACAUUUAAUUACUAUGUUCGUCGCUCUCUCUGCUUUUGCCUCUCUGUACAGAUUUUCUAAGAACUUGGUUAAUGGGUGAUAGGGAUAAGAUAAAGCACCUGAAACCCUUCUUACGAGCUUGGUUGAGACUGAAACGAAGAAACUGUGGAAUCUCUGGUACCUCUUAUUUUGGUUCUGCAAGAAGAGGAGGCAACGAAGGUUGAAGUUUAACUUCUAUUGUUUUUUUUUACG